rnacentral:misc_RNA from 1 species
GGAGCAAGAGUUCGUCCCGAAGAAGAAGAAGUCAAAGGAGGAUGAGGACUACGAGAAGAGGAGAAAAAACAUGGCUCCUGGAAGUUUGAUGAAGGCAAUCAUUAGACCAGCACAUGGUGCUGCUAAACCGGCAGAAGGAGACCAGGUUAUUUUCCAUUGCACUACUCGGACAUUGGAUGGAGUUAUCGUUGACUCUACAAGAUCCGAACAUGGAGGCAAGGGUAAUCCUUUAAGGUACGUCUUGGAAAAGGCAAAAUGAUACUUGGAUUUUCUGAGGGAAUUCCCACCAUGUUCAAGGGCAAAGUUGCAAUGUUCAAGAUGAAACCUGAGGUACAUUAUGCCGAGGCUGAGUGUCCA